UACGUAGGGUGCAAGCGUUAAUCGGAAUUACUGGGCGUAAAGCGCACGUAGGCGGGUCGUUAAGUCAGGGGUGAAAUCCCAGAGCUCAACUCCAGAACUGCCUUUGAUACUGAGGAUCUUGAGUACGGGAGAGGUGAGUGGAACUGCGAGUGUAGAGGUGAAAUUCGUAGAUAUUCGCAAGAACACCAGUGGCGAAGGCGGCUCACUGGCCCGUAACUGACGCUGAGGCACGAAAGCGUGGGGAGCAAACAGG
rnacentral:rRNA from 1 species